rnacentral:tRNA from 1 species
AUCCCUACUGUAGCGCAAUGGAUAGCGCGAUGGACUUCCAAUCCAAAGGUCGUGGGUUCGAAUCCCACCUGGGAUG